rnacentral:rRNA from 1 species
AGGACGAACGCUGGCGGCGUGCCUAACACAUGCAAGUCGAACGGGGUCCAUCCGGUGGCAACACCGGAGAAGACCCAGUGGCGAACGGGUGCGGAACACGUGAGCAACCUGCCCCGAAGAUCGGGAUAACGGCGGGAAACUGCCGCUAAUACCGCAUACGACCGAGAGGUGAAAGCGGGGGACCGAAAGGCCUCGCGCAGCAGGAUGAGCCGAUGUCCGAUUAGCUGGUUGGUGGGGUAACGGCCCACCAAGGCGACGAUCGGUAGCUGGUCUGAGAGGAUGAUCAGCCACACUGGGACUGAGACACGGCCCAGACUCCUACGGGAGGCAGC